AUGUCUCCAUAUGAUUUGUUUGCUACUACCUUGCAUUGCAUGAUGCCAUCACUUAAGAUUGAUUUGAAAACUCAUUUGCUUGGAUAUGAUGAUAUAUACCCUGUUAGUGGCAGUACUCUCAUUUGUGAUGAUCAUAGUUACUUUCCUCGUGCUAGUCCUAUGCUUAAUUAUAAAUAUCAUCCUUAUGUUAGUAUUGAGCUUGUUGAUUCGUAUCAUACUUGUCAUGUUCUUUAUAGCCAUGCUUAUGUAAUUGGGUACUCUAUUGAUGAUUUAGAGGGCAUUACCCCUUUCACUUGUAUGGUCUCUUUUGUCGAGUGCUCUUUCAGGUUUUUGCUACUGCAUCGUUCACUACAUGCUGACCAGGUUCGAGGUGACAUUCCUUGGGACCCCGGUGGAUUUAGAGCAUGGUGA
rnacentral:rRNA from 1 species